rnacentral:rRNA from 1 species
CAGUAGCGCGGUAAUACGAAGGGUGCAAGCGUUAAUCGGAAUUACUGGGCGUAAAGCGUGUGUAGGUGGUUGUUUAAGUCUGUCGUGGAAGCCCUGGGCUCAACCUGGGAAUUGCAAUGGAUACUGGCAAGCUAGAGUGUGUCAGAGGAUGGUGGAAUUCCCGGUGUAGCGGUGAAAUGCGUAGAGAUCGGAAGGAACAUCUGUGGCGAAGGCGACUAUCUGGGCCAACACUGACACUGAGGCACGAAAGCGUGGGGAGCAAACAGGAUUAGAUACCCCAGUAGUCCCUGUCUCUUAUACA